rnacentral:rRNA from 1 species
GAUGAACGCUGGCGGCGUGCCUAAUACAUGCAAGUCGAGCGAACGGACGAGACGCUUGUGUCUUUGACGUUAGCGGCGGACGGGAGUGUAACACGUGGAUAAUCUACUUAUAAGUCUGGUAUAACUUCGGGAAACCGGCGCUUAUACCGGAGAAUAUUCUGAACCGUAUUGUUCAAUAGUGAAAGACGGUCUUGCUGUCACUUAUAGCUGGAUCUGCGCUGCAUUAGCUAGUUGGUAAGGUAACGGGUUAUCAAGGCAACGAUGCAUAGACGAGCGGAGAGGGUGAUCGGCCACACUGGAACGGAGACACGGUCAAGGCUCCUGCGGGAGGCAGCAGUAGGGAAUCUGACGCAGUAGGCGAAAACCUGACAGAGCAACGGCGCGUGAGUGAUGAAGAUGUUGGGAGCGUAAAACUCUGUUAUUAGGGAAGAACAGAUGUGUAAGUAACUGUGCACAUCUUGACGGUACCUAAUCAAAAAGCAACGGCUAACUACGUG